CAGCCAUGCGGUGAGCACAGGACGAACUAUUCUUUCGCCUUUUACUAAAGAAUACCGUGUGCUUGCCGCAGAAAGUGGCAUACUUCUAUUUUUUGAAGGGCUCGUUCUUUGGAAAGGGC